rnacentral:rRNA from 1 species
UACGGAGGGUGCAAGCGUUAUCCGGAUUCACUGGGUUUAAAGGGUGCGUAGGUGGGUCUGUAAGUCAGUGGUGAAAUCUUCGAGCUUAACUCGGAAACUGCCAUUGAUACUAUAGGUCUUGAAUCAUCUGGAGGUGAGCGGAAUAUGUCAUGUAGCGGUGAAAUGCUUAGAUAUGACAUAGAACACCGAUUGCGAAGGCAGCUCACUACGGAUGUAUUGACACUGAGGCACGAAAGCGUGGGGAUCAAACAGG